GUGCUUGCUUCAGCAGCACAUAUACUAAAAUUGGAAAGAUACAGAGAAGAUUAGCAUGGCCCCUGUGCAAGGAUGACAUGCAUUCUUGAAGUGUUCUGUAUUUUU
ensembl:snRNA U6 U6 spliceosomal RNA